rnacentral:rRNA from 1 species
UGGGGAAUAUUGGACAAUGGGGGAAACCCUGAUCCAGCAAUGCCGCGUGAGUGAAGAAGGCCUUAGGGUUGUAAAGCUCUUUCGCCCGCGAAGAUAAUGACGGUAGCGGGAGAAGAAGCCCCGGCUAACUCCGUGCCAGCAGCCGCGGUAAUACGGAGGGGGCUAGCGUUGUUCGGAAUUACUGGGCGUAAAGCGUACGUAGGCGGAUGCGCAAGUUGGGGGUGAAAUCCCGGGGCUUAACCUCGGAAUUGCCCUCAAAACUGCACGUCUUGAGACCGAGGGAGGUAAGGGGAAUUCCUAGUGUAGAGGUGAAAUUCGUAGAUAUUAGGAAGAACACCAGUGGCGAAGGCGCCUUACUGGCUCGGUACUGACGCUGAGGUACGAAAGCGUGGGGAGCAAACA